UGCAGUGUAGUUCAAUGGGAGAACAACGGUCUCAUAAACCGUGAGAUGAAGGUUCAAUUCCUUCCGCCGCGACCA
rnacentral:tRNA from 2 species